rnacentral:rRNA from 1 species
GACGAACCGUGCGAACGUUGUUCGGAAUCACUGGGCUUAAAGGGCGCGUAGGCGGUUUGCCAAGUCAGGGGUGAAAUCCUGCAGCUCAACUGUAGAAGUGCCUUUGAUACUGGCGAACUCGAGGGAGGUAGGGGUGGGUGGAACCUCUGGUGGAGCGGUGAAAUGCGUUGAUAUCAGGAGGAACACCGGGUGGCGAAGGCGGGUCUCUGGGCCGAUACUGACGCUGAGGAGCGAAAGCGUGGGGAGCGAACAGG